CACGUCAAAGGCAACCAAGGCAAGGCAAGAAAAGCACGGGCAACACAAACUCGUCUUUGGUGGUUACAUGGAAUUUGCAACACGAAUUGGCUCUAAAUUUAAUAGAGUGCCCACAGAAGAUGACAAGAGAAUUGCCUACCCGCAAGGCUAUUCAGUUGUGGUUGAUCAGCUACGAGAAUUGAGUGGGCAUACACAACAUUCGAGUGCAUCCGUCACACAGGAAAAUAUGCUAAAUGGAAGUUGUUUCAAAUUGAAUACUUUACCAAUAAUCUAAUUGAUGUUGAGUUCCAACAUAAAGUGACUAUAUUUGUUUUAAAUAAGCAAGCAAUGAUAACAAUGUGCAUGUCAUUGGAAUGCAGCCUACUAAUUGUGAAACACCACCUGCACAUGAAGGUCUGGAUGUGCAUCCCAGUAGUGGAGAGCAUGUAGUUGGUGGUGAGCAAGUGGAGCAUGAUCUGGGUACACAACCUCAAGAACGUGAUGUUCCCCACUCAGAGGACCCCCCUUCGCUUUAGUAUCCUCGUCCUCAGUAUAGGACUAGGCAUACAUUGAGAUCAUGAGCAGUUGGCGGAACAUCUGCAGAGGGGGGAAAUGAUGAAGACACCAAUGUUCCACUUAGUCUUUUCAUCGCUUCAAAGAAAAAACAAAGAAAGAAAUGAUUGUAAUCUAACUUAUUUG